GAAAUCUCAUUUGCCUUCAUAUGCUUCCUCUUCCGCAAAAAUCCACCCCGAGAUAGACCCCAAUUCCUGCUCCCUUGAGAAGUUCAAGCUUUAGGAGACCAGAGCGAGGUUGUAUUUAAUUGGGAGUGACAGGAACAAGAGGUUUUUUCGAGUGUUGAAAAUUGAUCGAUCAGAGCAUCAGCCAGGAUCCGGUGGUUUAUUCCCCUCAGGAAAUCAAAAACUUGCUUCAACAGAUUGAUGAAGGAAAUCGUGCUACCGGCGGCCUCAACUCUGUGGCUAAGGUUUUUGGUAUUGCAGGUUGCAUUAAGUUUUUGGAGUCAUAUUAUUUGAUUUUGGUUACCAAGCGAAGACAAAUUGGAUGUAUAUGCGGUCAUGCAAUAUACAGUAUAAAUGAGACCCAAUUGAUUACGAUUCCUCAUGUCUCUAUUCAAUCAGAUGUGGCGCAUUCGAAAAUCGA